AUUGAACGCUGGUGGCGUGCUUUACACAUGCAAGUCGGACGAGUCGCGAACGGGUGAGCAAUAUAUUGGAACGUACCUAGCAUUGGGGGAUGACCAAUCGAAAGAUUGGCCAAUACUGCAUACUAUUCGAUCGGCCAAUAUUUGAGUCGCGAGUUGGUGGGGUAUAGGCCUACCAUGGCGACGAUCAAUAGCGGGACUGAGAGGAUGAUCGGCCACACUGGGACUGAGACACGGCCCAGAAUCCGACGGGAGGCAGCAGUAGGGAAUUUUGGACAAUGGGCGAAAGCCUGAUCCAGCCAUGCCGCGUGUGUGAAGAAGGCCUUCGGGUUGUAAAAGACUGUUGUUAGAGCAGCGGUACCUAAAGAUAAAGCACCGGCUAACUACGUGCCAGCAGCCGCGGUAAUAC
rnacentral:rRNA from 1 species